UACAGAGGUCUCAAGCGUUGUUCGGAUUCAUUGGGCGUAAAGGGUGUGUAGGUGGCGCGCUAAGUCGGGUGUGAAAUUUCGGAGCUUAACUCCGAAACUGCAUUCGAUACUGCCGUGCUUGAGGACUGGAGAGGAGACUGGAAAUUUCACGGUGUAGCGGUGAAAUGCGUAGAUAUCAUAGGAAGACCAGUGGCGAAGGCGGGUCUCUGGACAGUUCCUGACGCUGAGGACGAAGGCAGGGGAGCAAACGGG
rnacentral:rRNA from 1 species